GGCUCCUUGCUUGCAAGGGGUACUCGAGUGGCGAACGGGUGAGUAACACGUGGGUGAUCUGCCUUGCACUUCGGGAUAAGCCUGGGAAACUGGGUCUAAUACCGGAUAGGACCAUGCUUUAGUGUGUGUGGUGGAAAGUUUUUCGGUGCAAGAUGAGCCCGCGGCCUAUCAGCUUGUUGGUGGGGUAAUGGCCUACCAAGGCGACGACGGGUAGCCGGCCUGAGAGGGUGUACGGCCACAUUGGGACUGAGACACGGCCCAGACUCCUACGGGAGGCAGCAGUGGGGAAUAUUGCACAAUGGGCGCAAGCCUGAUGCAGCGACGCCGCGUGGGGGAUGACGGCCUUCGGGUUGUAAACUCCUUUCGCUAGGGAAGAAGCCACUUUGUGGUGACGGUACCUGGAUAAGAAGCACCGGCUAACUACGUGCCAGCAGCCGCGGUAAUACGUAGGGUGCGAGCGUUGUCCGGAAUUACUGGGCGUAAAGAGCUCGUAGGUGGUUUGUCGCGUCGUCUGUGAAAUCCCGGGGCUUAACUUCGGGCGUGCAGGCGAUACGGGCAUAACUAGAGUGCUGUAGGGGAGACUGGAAUUCCUGGUGUAGCGGUGAAAUGCGCAGAUAUCAGGAGGAACACCGAUGGCGAAGGCAGGUCUCUGGGCAGUUACUGACGCUGAGGAGCGAAAGCAUGGGUAGCGAACAGGAU
rnacentral:rRNA from 1 species